rnacentral:rRNA from 1 species
UACAGAGGGUGCAAGCGUUAAUCGGAUUUACUGGGCGUAAAGCGCGCGUAGGCGGCUAAUUAAGUCAAAUGUGAAAUCCCCGAGCUUAACUUGGGAAUUGCAUUCGAUACUGGUUAGCUAGAGUGUGGGAGAGGAUGGUAGAAUUCCAGGUGUAGCGGUGAAAUGCGUAGAGAUCUGGAGGAAUACCGAUGGCGAAGGCAGCCAUCUGGCCUAACACCGACGCUGAGGUGCGAAAGCAUGGGGAGCAAACAGG